rnacentral:rRNA from 1 species
CCUACGGGUGGCAGCAGUGGGGAAUAUUGCACAAUGGGGGAAACCCUGAUGCAGCAACGCCGCGUGAAGGAAGACGGUUUUCGGAUUGGAAACUUCUGUUCUGAGUGGAGAAUAAUGACGGUACCUGAGUAAGAAGCCGCGGAUAAGUACGUGCCAGCAGCCGCGGGAAUGCGGAGGGGGCAGGCGUUAUCCGGAUUUACUGGGGGUAAAGGGGACGUAGAGGGGAUUGCAAGUCUGGAGGGAAAGGGGGGGGCUCAACCCCCGGACUGCGCUGGAAACUGUAGGGCUGGAGUGCAGGAGAGGUAAGUGGAAUUCCUGGUGUAGCGGUGAAAUGCGUAGAUAUUAGGAGGAACACCAGUGGCGAAGGCGGCUUACUGGACUGUAACUGACGUUGAGGCUCGAAAGCGUGGGGAGCAAACAGGAUUAGAUACCCCUGUAGUC